rnacentral:rRNA from 1 species
UGAGGAAUAUUGGUCAAUGGGCGGGAGCCUGAACCAGCCAUCCCGCGUGCAGGAAGACGGCCCUAUGGGUUGUAAACUGCUUUUUCGCAUGAAGAACACCCCGGACGUGUCCGGGGCUGACGGUAAUGCGUGAAUAAGCACCGGCUAACUCCGUGCCAGCAGCCGCGGUAAUACGGAGGGUGCAAGCGUUAUCCGGAUUUAUUUGGUUUAAAGGGUGCGUAGGCGGUUAUACAAGACAGGCGUGAAAUCCCCGGGCUUAACCUGGGAAUGGCGCCUGUGACUGUAUAGCUAGAGUGUGUCAGAGGGGGGUAGAAUUCCACGUGUAGCAGUGAAAUGCGUAGAUAUGUGGAGGAACAUCAAUGGCGAAGGCAGCCCCCUGGGUCGACACUGACGCUCAUGCACGAAAGCGUGGGGAGCAAACAGG